rnacentral:misc_RNA from 1 species
GUAGGUGAACCUGCGGAAGGAUCAUUAAUUGAACAUUGCGGGAGGCCGGAUCCCAGAGUGCGAGACCCGAAAGGGGAGCGUACUUUGGCCCUGCUCACCUGAAUAUUCUACCCAUGUCUUUUGCGUACUAUUUGUUUCCUUGGUGGGCUUGCCUGCCAAUAGGACAACCUAACAACCUUUUUGUAAUUGCAAUCAGCGUCUGAAUAAACAUAAUAAUUACAACUUUCAACAACGGAUCUCUUGGUUCUG